AUGAGUCAAAUUAGUUUUCACCCUUGAUACUUGCCUCUCUUGGUCAAGUGCAUCCCGUCAAUCUCUUGGAUAGUCAGAAAUGUUACAUUUCAGUUCUCAAUAGGAUCUGCUUUCCAAAAAUGCACCAACGUAAGUCGUCUCCGCUGUCUGCUCCGUAGCUCAUUGAACAGUGUAGUGACUUGACAUUCUGCCCCGACCUUAAAUACCAUCAUGUUUCGCAUCACUCGCCGGCUUACCUCCCUCCAGCCCGCCCUCCUCACGUCGGUUAUUCACGCACUCCCCCUGUUCGGUAAGCUCACCAGUCACUUCCCAGUAAGGAGGAAACAGUGGGAGUCAACAGCACGCCCCCACACCGUGAAUCAACACAUAAUAGUUUCUGAGGAAAACCAUCUGACGGGCCCUGACCUCUAUUCUCAUAAAGUAAAGAAGGGGAAAGGCUGCGUCUACUGUUGGAGUCAGGAAUUCCCCCACAGGCUUGCGUACAGCUGUCAGGCUGUGACGCCACGAUGACGAAGUCCGUGUUGUGGUCCAGAGAACAACUGGAUGAUGACAUCGGCUGUGGAAAAAAGGAGCAGAUCACAAAAGAGAGAGACCCUUUUCCAGACAUACUCUUACAGGAGACCCCCCAGAGACCGACCACAGACCUACCGUGAUGCCCAAAUCCUCUUUCAAGCAACAUCCUCGGGCAGCCGGAUAAGUUGCAAUUGACAUUUUGUGUUGGACUUCAGAAACAAGCCUGGCUUUCAUACUGCUGUUUGAACAUGGGGGAAAUCACUCACAAAGGUCACUGAGCCCAUUUCCUUUUCUUUCCUGCCAGUGCAUCUAAAUAGACCUGGAACUGCCCCCCUUUCAACUGCUCCUCACUUACUGGAACAUAUCUAUAUCGAGUAGGUACGGUUAAAAAAAAACAAAAAAAAACAGUAAUCAUGUCAAUCAAUUUUUUUAUUAAACAUGUUUGAAUACACAGUA